rnacentral:lncRNA from 1 species
GUAUUUCCGCCGGCGCGAAACGAGCGUAGCUUCCUUGUCGUGUGGCCUCAGUCCUUCGCCGUCCCUCGCCGUCCUUCGCCAUCGCACGCCACCGCACCCCAUCUCUCGAAAUCUGCAGACAUCUUGAUUUUUCCCACGCUGUCUGUCAGGUCUCCGCCGCCACUCGACGCCAGGGCGCCGGGUGAGUCCACAGCAGGGCGCAUGGUCGGCUCCACUCUCACCAUCGGGGGAAACUGAGGCCCCGGGGAAGGCGGCCAGAGAGGUCAGGCCCUGUCCUUGGUGCAGUGUCUCGUCCUCUUUGCCGGAGUGAGCCCCCCAGGAUUCGCGUGUCCUCGGGAAAGACACUGGCAGGCCUUGUGGGCUGUGCUGCACCUCGGACGGCUUCGCACCAGCCAGCGCCCUCUCUCUCCUGCAGCACUCUGAUCUGCACCCCCUGAGGGGCUUCCACUGUCCGCGGGGUGAGAAUGCCCCUGGGAGUGUCACAUGACUGCCGCCCCAUGUGUGUGAGAGGCGUCCUCUGGGAGAGCAUGGAUCCUGAGGUCCCAGGAUUGUCAGCUGACCUCUGUCCUGUGUGCCCAGUGGCCCCAGGUGACGUGUCUUCAAGAAGAGGCUGAGCUGCGGUGCUUGUAAGGUCUCAGCCUUAGAUCCAAGGACAGUCCAAGGAAGUCCUAAGACCAUGGAGUUGGUGAUCUGGGAUCUGGGUUUGCUGAUAUUUCUCACCGUGAAUCUCUUGGUGGUGUUUGUGGGCACGAGAGGGGCAGAGAAUGGAGAGUGAGGCUACCACAUGAAGCGUCACCAGAGCUGCUCCCUGCUGCCUGCUCAGAGCACCCCGGAUCCACUGUUCAAUCUGCACAAGAUUCGGGGUCCAGACAUGGGAGACUUCAGCUGCCUCAGAGGACCGUGGACAGGGAAGGCCAGCCUCGCAUCCCUCUGUCCAUGCCUGGAAUGACUUUAAUAACCAAGAGUUUUAUUUUUGAAUUUGUAGCUGUCGUUCACUUUUUACCCACCCAUUCAAUAAACCUUACAGAAUUGCUCCA